AUGAGAAAAGAAGGAAGCUCUGAG
rnacentral:piRNA from 1 species